rnacentral:tRNA from 1 species
GCCGAUGUAGCUCAGUUGGCAGAGCAACGCUUUCGUAAAGCGUGGGUCGUCGGUUCGAAUCCGACCAUCGGCUCCA